rnacentral:rRNA from 1 species
UACAGAGGGUGCGAGCGUUAAUCGGAAUUACUGGGCGUAAAGCGUGCGUAGACGGUAGUGCAAGUCGGGUGUGAAAGCCCCAGGCUCAACCUGGGAAUUGCAUUCGAGACUGCUCGGCUAGGGUGCGGAAUAGGGAAGCGGAAUUUCCGGUGUAGCGGUGAAAUGCGUAGAUAUCGGAAGGAACACCAUUGGCGAAAGCGGGUUCCUGGUCCGGCACCGACUUUCAGGCACGAAAGCGUGGGGAGCAAACAGG